rnacentral:lncRNA from 1 species
AUUGUCAAUCCCUAGGAUUGAGUGGGUGGUUGGUUGAAUAGUAUGAUUGUAAUAUACCAAAUUUUGGUAUAAAAAUAAAAAUAAAUAAAAAUAGCGUGAGAAACUAUUUUUAUUGGAUUUAGAGAAGUAAAAUAUAAGUUAGAAGUGACUUCUGCUGAAAUCGAAAUGAAAACAGAAGAUUUAGAAUUUUCUGUUGGAAACGGGACAGAUAAAUUAGCAGAAAAUGCACAGUGUCAGAAAAUUAUGAAAACUGGAGAAUAAGUCAGAAUUAUUUUUAUGAGGCUAGAUUUAAAGUUUCAUAUCAUUCCGACACCCGGAAGGUGAAAAAUAAAAUCCGACAGCUAUCUAAUAAAGAUUAUAGUUCGGUACAGUUUUCGGUGACCAAACGGGUUCGAAACUGAAAUAUUAAAAUUUUUUUGGACUCGUUAAGUAAAACCGAAUAUGACUGUCAAAUUUGAGCUCAAACGGAUAUUCAGGAAGUUUCGGCGAAAGAUAUCAGAUUUCGAACUGCCCGAAGUGAAUAGUGUUUUGGGUGUUGACUAAAGAGGAGUGUU